AAGCUCGUAGUUGAAUUUCGGGGUUCUACCGUUGGUCGGGCUAACCAGUCUGUACUAGCGUGUAGAAUUCCUACCUUCUGGGGAACCAUCAUGUUAUUAAUUUAGCGUGGUGGGAAACCAGGACCUUUACCUUGAAAAAAUUAGAGUGUUCAAAGCAGGCUUACGUCUGAAUACAUUAGCAUGGAAUAAUAAAAUAGGACGGUGGUCCUGUCUUGUUGGUUUCUGAAUCACCGUAAUGAUUAAUAGGGAUAGUUGGG
rnacentral:rRNA from 1 species